rnacentral:rRNA from 1 species
CUGAGUACGGCGGAACACGUGAAAUUCCGUCGGAAUCCGGGAGGACCAUCUCCCAAGGCUAAAUACUCCCUAGUGACCGAUAGUGAACCAGUACCGUGAGGGAAAGGUGAAAAGCACCCCGGAAGGGGAGUGAAACAGUUCCUGAAACCGUGUGCCUACAAGUAGUUAGAGCCCGUUAAUGGGUGAUAGCGUGCCUUUUGUAGAAUGAACCGGCGAGUUACGAUUUGUUGCAAGGUUAAGCGGAAAAAGCGGAGCCGUAGCGAAAGCGAGUCUGAAUAGGGCGCAUAAGUAACAGGUCGUAGACCCGAAACCAGGUGAUCUACCCAUGUCCAGGAUGAAGGUAAGGUAAUACUUACUGGAGGUCCGAACCCACGCACGUUGAAAAGUGCGGGGAUGAGGUGUGGGUAGCGGAGAAAUUCCAAUCGAACUUGGAGAUAGCUGGUUCUCUCCGAAAUAGCUUUAGGGCUAGCCUCGAGGUAAAGAGUCAUGGAGGUAGAGCACUGUUUGGACUAGGGGCCCUUCUCGGGUUACCGAAUUCAGAUAAACUCCGAAUGCCAUGUACUUAUACUCGGGAGUCAGACUGCGAGUGAUAAGAUCCGUAGUCGAAAGGGAAACAGCCCAGACCACCAGUUAAGGUCCCCAAAUAUAUGUUAAGUGGAAAAGGAUGUGGGGUUGCUUAGACAACCAGGAUGUUGGCUUAGAAGCAGCCACCAUUGAAAGAGUGCGUAAUAGCUCACUGGUCGAGUGACCCCGCGCCGAAAAUGUACCGGGGCUAAACAUAUUACCGAAACUGUGGAUGAACCUCUUUAGAGGUUCGUGGUAGGAGAGCGUUCUAAGGGCGGUGAAGUCAGACCGGAAGGACUGGUGGAGCGCUUAGAAGUGAGAAUGCCGGUAUGAGUAGCGAAAGAAGG